GGUGAGAUGGCCGAGUUGGUUAUGGCGCCAGGUUAAGGUCUUCCUUAGCAUCCUACUUCCUGGUCACGAAAGUGGCGUGGGUUCGAGUCCCACUCUCAUCA
rfam:Pyrenochaeta sp. DS3sAY3a unplaced genomic scaffold IQ07scaffold_9, whole genome shotgun sequence.